rnacentral:rRNA from 1 species
GACGAACGCUGGCGGCGUGCCUAAUACAUGCAAGUUGAGCGCUGAAGGUUGGUACUUGUACCGACUGGAUGAGCAGCGAACGGGUGAGUAACGCGUGGGGAAUCUGCCUUUGAGCGGGGGACAACAUUUGGAAACGAAUGCUAAUACCGCAUAAAAACUUUAAACACAAGUUUUAAGUUUGAAAGAUGCAAUUGCAUCACUCAAAGAUGAUCCCGCGUUGUAUUAGCUAGUUGGUGAGGUGAAGGCUCACCAAGGCGAUGAUACAUAGCCGACCUGAGAGGGUGAUCGGCCACAUUGGGACUGGGACACGGCCCAAACGCCUACGGGAGGCAGCAGUAGGGAAUCUUCGGCAAUGGACGAAAGUCUGACCGAGCAACGCCGCGUGAGUGAAGAAGGUUUUCGGAUCGUAAAACUCUGUUGGUAGAGAAGAACGUUGGUGAGAGUGGAAAGCUCAUCAAGUGACGGUAACUACCCAGAAAGGGACGGCUAACUACGUG